rnacentral:rRNA from 1 species
UACGUAGGGUGCGAGCGUUGUCCGGAAUUAUUGGGCGUAAAGAGCUCGUAGGCGGUGUGUCACGUCGGCCGUGAAAACCUGCAGCUUAACUGUGGGCGUGCGGUCGAUACGGGCAUCACUGGAGUUCGGCAGGGGAGACUGGAAUUCCUGGUGUAGCGGUGAAAUGCGUAGAUAUCAGGAGGAACACCCGUAGCGAAGGCGGCACUCUGGGCCGAUACUGACACUGAGGAGCGAAAGCGUGGGGAGCGAACAGG